UCCCUAGUGGCUCAGACAGUAAAGUACCUGCUUGCAAUGCAGGAGACCCAGGUUCCAUUGCUGGGUCGGGAA
rnacentral:tRNA from 1 species